rnacentral:rRNA from 1 species
UACGUAGGGGGCAAGCGUUGUCCGGAAUCAUUGGGCGUAAAGCGUGCGCAGGCGGUUUUGUAAGUUUGUCGUGAAAGCCCCGGGCUCAACCUGGGGAAUGGCGAUGAAGACUGCAAGGCUUGAAUCUGGCAGAGGGGGGUAGAAUUCCACGUGUAGCAGUGAAAUGCGUAGAGAUGUGGAGGAACACCGAUGGCGAAGGCAGCCCCCUGGGUCAAGAUUGACGCUCAUGCACGAAAGCGUGGGGAGCAAACAGG